rnacentral:tRNA from 2 species
AACAUAGCUCAGUUGGUAGAGCUACUGAUUUGUAAUCAGUGGGUCGGGAGUUCGAGUCUCUCUGUUGGC